CCCUCCCAGAAGACACCGGGUGACACGAUGUGGGGCAAAGCCCUCCUGAAGGUUAGCAAGUGUGGGCAAAGGCUGCAGAGACGCCCCCGACACUAAUGCAGGUGCGCCGGCCUGGCCGCGUCUGCAGCAGUCGGGACCCUCUGGGGCCCCGGUUGUUCCGGAAGGUCGAGUGUAAGAGCGCGGCCGUCUCCAGGGUGUGAGGCAAAUGACAGCACUAGUCAUCCGUAUCAUGUUCGACAGCACAAACGUCCGUAACAAAAAUCUCCAUGGAAAGAAACUGAGCGCACACUCUGCUCUCACCGGCCUCCUGAGCACGGCAGCUGUUCCGCGGUCUGUGGAACACGCGCCGCCUGUAAGUGGAUUUGGAGCCAGCUUCUGUUGGGGGUGACGUCUGCGGCCACCUUGCAGAGGCCUCGUCACCGGGUGUCUGGGCGUCCGCGAGAGUGCAGAGUGUGGGGCGACUUCCACCUCCGGUUUCCACCAGUGAUGCUCCAGCGGCCAAUUGUUCGGAACCGGAUCUGUCCUCCCCUCCACCCGGGCCAGGCACGCCCCUCCACUGGUGCUCUGUCUUCUGAACACGGCCGCUGGUUCCCUCCCCUGCUCCCCCUGCACACGGGGCCCCGGAGCCCCGUCUGUCUGUGUGUAACCGGCCCACCGUGAUUUGCAGCCUGAGAAAGCGACAUGGACGGAAGGUUUCUGCCAACACCAGCAUGAGCGCCGCUCCAGACGGUCCCCGCUCCCGGUGGCGGCAGCCGCGCUUGCAGACUCCCUGACGCGUCCCCAGGCUCAGCUAAGGAGUUCGGUGAGAAGUCGGCCCUUGGACGCCCUCGCCCCUCUUGAGGCCGAGCCUCACGACUACAGUGAAUACACUCAGUUUCCAGUG